rnacentral:misc_RNA from 1 species
GAUGAAGAACGUAGCGAAAUGCGAUACGUAAUGUGAAUUGCAGAAUUCAGUGAAUCAUCGAGUCUUUGAACGCACAUUGCGCCCCCUGGUAUUCCGGGGGGCAUGCCUGUCCGAGCGUCAUUGCUGCCCUCAAGCACGGCUUGUGUGUUGGGCCUCCGUCCUCCUCCCGGGGGACGGGCCCGAAAGGCAGCGGCGGCACCGCGUCCGGUCCUCGAGCGUAUGGGGCUUCGUCACCCGCUCUUGUAGGCCCGGCCGGCGCUUGCCGACACAUCAAUCGUUUUUCCAGGUUGACCUCGGAUCAGGUAGGGAUACCCGCUGAACUUAAGCAUAUCAAUAAGCGGAGGA